rnacentral:rRNA from 1 species
CAAUAAGCGAGAAAAGAAACUAACAAGGAUUCCCCUAGUAACGGCGAGUGAAGCGGGAUGAGCUCAAAUUUAAAAUCUGGCUGGUUUACUAGUCCGAAUUGUAGUUUAAAGAAGCGUUUUCGGCGGCAACCUGGGUAUAAAUCCUUUGGAAUAGGGUAUCAUAGAGGGUGAGAAUCCCGUCUUUGACUCAGUGUAUGUUGCUAUGUGAUACGUUUUCAAAGAGUCGAGUUGUUUGGGAAUGCAGCUCAAAAUGGGUGGUAAAUUUCAUCUAAAGCUAAAUAUUGGCGAGAGACCGAUAGCGAACAAGUACCGUGAGGGAAAGAUGAAAAGAACUUUGAAAAGAGAGUUAAACAGUGCGUGAAAUUGUUGAAAGGGAAACGCUUGACACCAGUCAUGCGGGUGAAAAAUCAGUCUUUUGCAGUGAGGAGUUUUGGUAGUUUAGACCGCAAGGCUAGCUGCUGGCGCAUCUUUGCUGUAAGUGAUGCACUUUUUCAUUUGCAGGUCAACAUCAGUUUCGUUUGCCGGACAAAACCCCGAGAGAAGGUAGCAGCUUAGGCUGUGUUAUAGCUCUGGGGCGAUACGGUGGAGGGGACUGAGGCUUCGCAGUGUGUGCUCUCGGGCAAGGUUGAUUGGGUGCUAUGGGAUCGUUCGGGGUACAAUACAUGUAUUUUGCUUCGUGUCUUUUUCAUACUCGCUCAACUCGACUCUUCCACACUUAGGAUGUUGACUUAAUGGUUUUAAUCGACCCGUCUUGAAACACGGACCAAGGAGUCUAACAUAUAUGCAAGUGUUUGGGUGGCAAACCCAUGCGCGUAAUGAAAGUGAACGUAGGUGCCAUCCGCAAGGUGCAGCAUCGACCGAUCUUGAUAUUUUUGGAUAGAUUUGAGUAAGAGCAUAUAUGCUGGGACCCGAAAGAUGGUGAACUAUGCCUGAAUAGGGUGAAGCCAGAGGAAACUCUGGUGGAGGCUCGUAGCGAUUCUGACGUGCAAAUCGAUCGUCAAAUUUGGGUAUAGGGGCGAAAGACUAAUCGAACCAUCUAGUAGCUGGUCUGC